rnacentral:rRNA from 1 species
GUUGUUGGGUAGGGGAGCGUUCUGUAAGCCUGUGAAGGUGUACUGUGAGGUAUGCUGGAGGUAUCAGAAGUGCGAAUGCUGACAUAAGUAACGAUAAAGCGGGUGAAAAGCCCGCUCGCCGGAAGACCAAGGGUUCCUGUCCAACGUUAAUCGGGGCAGGGUGAGUCGACCCCUAAGGCGAGGCCGAAAGGCGUAGUCGAUGGGAAACAGGUUAAUAUUCCUGUACUUGGUGUUACUGCGAAGGGGGGACGGAGAAGGCUAUGUUGGCCGGGCGACGGUUGUCCCGGUUUAAGCGUGUAGGCUGGUUUUCCAGGCAAAUCCGGAAAACUAAGGCUGAGGCGUGAUGACGAGGCACUACGGUGCUGAAGCAACAAAUGCCCUGCUUCCAGGAAAAGCCUCUAAGCAUCAGGUAACAUCAAAUCGUACCCCAAACCGACACAGGUGGUCAGGUAGAGAAUACCAAGGCGCUUGAGAGAACUCGGGUGAAGGAACUAGGCAAAAUGGUGCCGUAACUUCGGGAGAAGGCACGCUGAUAUGUAGGUGAAG